UCGAUGCCCGAGUGGUUAAAGGGGGCGGAUUGUAAAUCCGCUGACUAUUGUCUACGUUGGUUCAAAUCCAACUCGG
rnacentral:ncRNA from 15 species